rnacentral:rRNA from 1 species
AUUGAACGCUGGCGGCAGGCUUAACACAUGCAAGUCGAGCGGGGUGAUGGUGCUUGCACUAUCACUUAGCGGCGGGCGGGUGAGUAAUGCUUAGGAAUCUGCCUAUUAGUGGGGGACAACAUCUCGAAAGGGAUGCUAAUACCGCAUACGUCCUACGGGAGAAAGCAGGGGAUCACUUGUGACCUUGCGCUAAUAGAUGAGCCUAAGUCGGAUUAGCUAGUUGGUGGGGUAAAGGCCUACCAAGGCGACGAUCUGUAGCGGGUCUGAGAGGAUGAUCCGCCACACUGGGACUGAGACACGGCCCAGACUCCUACGGGAGGCAGCAGUGGGGAAUAUUGGACAAUGGGGGGAACCCUGAUCCAGCCAUGCCGCGUGUGUGAAGGAGGCCUUAUGGUUGUAAAGCACUUUAAGCGAGGAGGAGGCUCUUUUGGUUAAUACCCAAGAUGAGUGGACGUUACUCGCAGAAUAAGCACCGGCUAACUCUGUGCCAGCAGCCGCGGUAA